CUGGCUUUCAACGCUGUCCAAGGGUGAAAUUGCAUUACAUUCUGCCUGGUAAUGAGGUGUUGCAGGUCUCGGCCCCCAGCCAGAAGAAGCAGCUCUGGCCACCAGCCCUGGCCCAGCCUUCCUCCAGCCAGGACUGGACUGGCUAGCAGAGCCAGGGAGGAGGGAGGCUGCAAGGACUUGAGGUACGGGAGAGUGCAGAGGCAGAGGGUCAACACCAGGUCGCCCUCUCUGCUUUCUGCUUGCUGCUAAAGAUGUGAAGAUCUCAGCUUCCCGCUCCAGUCACCAGGCUUCUGCUCUGCCACCAUGGACUCAAAGCCUCUGGAGUCCUGGCCCUUCUUUCUCCACUGUGCUUGUAGUAAUUGGUUACAACAGCUAACAGAAUCUAACCCAGUACCCAAUGAACAAGCCGCCACUAAGGCUGAUGCCCAUUCCAGACAGAGGGCAGACCACAUGACCCCCAAGGAUGCUCUGCCCUGCCAAACUGAUGCCCGCUGGCCUUCAUCCUGCUCAACUGUGCCCUGAUGACCAUUAACUAUGGCUGGGAAAUCAAUGGCUGCUGCCAGGGGGACAGCACGAACCCUGGCCUCCUCUUUGCAUACACAGAACUUUAAAUCCCAGAGAGGCAAGACUACAGACUCCUCAGGUCCCUCCCAGCUCACACAGCAAACAUGAGAGCUACAAACAUGAAUCUUGUGCCAAACUACCAAAGUCUGGCCUUCCAGAGCAGGAUGUGCCAUAUGGCCAAUGAAGAUAGAUGAAGGCUCUCUAUAGUACAACAUUUUAAAAUAAUACAUAUUGGAACACAUGCAUGUGAGCUUUAAGUUGAAAUCACACAAAGGAGUACAGUUGAAACAUUUCUCUGUCGGGCAUUCUGUUAUAGCAGAGGCAGGCUAGCUGGCCCACUAGUCUAUGAGGAGUCCCCUGUCUCAGUUUCCCAUCUCAGCAUAGUGCCAGGGUCACAGAUGCAUGCUACCACAUUCCGGGGUUCCAGGGGUCCAAAC